CAUUAAGUGACUGAAUG
rnacentral:tRNA from 12 species